rnacentral:miRNA from 1 species
UUCAAGUAACCCAGGAUA